rnacentral:misc_RNA from 1 species
AGUAUGGAAGUGCCUUGGGGAGGUUGGAGUAGUUUGCCUAACCGAGCUAUUAAAUGGCAUAUUAAAAUUGGGAAAGAUGCCAAAUGAGUGGAGAGAAAAGCAUUUUGGUUCCUAUCUUUAAGAGCAAAGGGGACACCCAAAGUUAUGCAAACUACCGUGGUAUUAAACUGAUGAAUCACAUGAUGAAGUCAUGGGAAAGAGUGGUUGAGUGCAAACUUA